AAAUGAAUGGAAGUAUAGGGGUAUGAUCCCCAAAAAAGGCGUUAAAUAUAUAUCCCCCAAAAAACAAAGAAUAUUUCCUGAACUUUAAAACUUUCUUUUUGACUUGGUCUGUUAACCAUCUGAAUGUGUUAUUCGAUGAUUUUCUAUGGGAUAUAGCAGUAAAGGCCAAAUACAAUAUUUUAAAUCAAAGGCUUAGACAGCCUUGUUGUCCCUGAGGCAUAGAGAGAGGUCUCUGCCUUGUUGUCCCUGAGGCAUAGAGAGAGGUCUCUGCCUUGUUGUCCCUGAGGCAUAGAGAGAGGUCUCUGCCUCGUUGUCCCUGAGGCAUAGAGAGAGGUCUCUGCCUUGUUGUCCCUGAGGCAUAGAGAGAGGUCUCUGCCUUGUUGUCCCUGAGGCAUAGAGAGAGGUCUCUGCCUUGUUGUCCCUGAGGCAUAGAGAGAGGUCUCUGCCUUGUUGUCCCUGAGGCAUAGAGAGAGGUCUCUGCCUUGUUGUCCCUGAGGCAUAGAGAGAGAGGUCUCUGCCUUGUUGUCCCUGAGGCAUAGAGAGAGAGGUCUCUGCCUUGUUGUCCCUGAGGCAUAGAGAGAGAGGUCUCUGCCUUGUUGUCCCUGAGGCAUAGAGAGAGAGGUCUCUGCCUUGUUGUCCCUGAGGCAUAGAGAGAGAGGUCUCUGCCUUGUUGUCCCUGAGGCAUAGAGAGAGAGGUCUCUGCCUUGUUGUCCCUGAGGCAUAGAGAGAGGUCUCUGCCUUGUUGUCCCUGAGGCACGGAGAGAGAGUUCUCUGCCCACUUAGCUGGAAAGCAAAUAUCAGAUGUCUAGUGGGCAGAGGUGUGUUUGUACUGUGCGUGCAUGCAUACCAAAUGUGUGUGUGUGUGUGUGUGUGUGUGUGUACUGAGCGUGGAUUCAUGUCUGUGUGUGAGUGU
ensembl:lncRNA